rnacentral:rRNA from 1 species
AGUCACUGACAUUAGAUACCCCCGUUACGUCCAGGGUGUAAACGACUGCAGACUUGGUGCUGGAGGCCCUUUGGGGGCAUUCAGUGCCGGAGAGAAGUUGUUAAGUCUGCUACUUGGGGAGUACGUCCGCAAGGAUGAAACUUAAGGAAUUGGCGGGGAGCACCGCAACGGGAGGAGCGUUGCGGUUUAAUUGGAUUCAACACCGUAAAACUCACCAGGGAAGACUGUUACAUGAAGGCCGAGAUGAAGACUCUGCUAGAUUUUCAG